ACUGCGGAGGUGAGCGAGCAAAACCUGGUCCUUGCCCUGACGGGAUAUUGGGCAAAGUCAGAAGACGGAAUAAACAAUUAGGAAACCCGGUGGCGAGGGUAUGGCAGAGUUUGCAGAGCUGUGAGAACAGAGGCGGGACGGCCAUGACCUUGCUUGGCUCUUGAAGCGUAGUCGAAUUUACACAGCAACCCUCUGGGCUGCCUGUCAGAAGCCCCGUUUGUGUGUGACAGAGCUGAGUUUCAGAGAGGUCCGGACACUUGCUCAAGCCCAUGCAGAUGGCAAGCGACAGGGCUGCUAUUCAAGCCCGGGUCUGGAACACUCAAGGCUGGUGCUUUCCUCCUUGGACCAAGUCACCCGGAACCAAUGGAAGUAACCUCCAAUGGAAUGACUGCUUUUUACUGUGAAGAGUCUCAGGACCCCAUGCCUCCUGGAGCCUGCCUCAAGUCCCAAAGUCCUUAGUUUUCUUUGUUAGGAGCUAAUUUGGCUGCACGGGCUACAGGGAAAUUCCCCACCAUUUUGAAAACCCAAGCUCUGUCGUCAUCUCCGUCUUCUAGUACCUGUCUCCCUUCAGAAUUUGCUUUGUACCACGGAAGAGUUUCACCUGGGGCUGGAGAACAUCUUUGACUUUCUGUUUGCCUCAAAAGAAGCUCAGUGCUGCCUAUCUAUAGAAAUUUAUGCUAUUUCUACAAGUGCAAACAGUGUAACUACACAGAGCUUGGAGACUGGGGUUGGAAAGGGAGUAGUUCAGCUUGAAUCUAUUUUUGGCCAGAUCCAAUUUAGAGGAAGAACGCCACUUUCAUGAUGAUGGUGAUGAUGAUGAUGAUUACUCUUUGAAGGAGUAGCUCUUCUAGUGACACGUGAUGAGUGUCACGUGAUCAGCAUAAGCACGCACGAGCGCACCCUCCACUCUACAUUAACGGAGGGACAGGAGGGAGGGUUUCAGUAAAAUUUUUAAAUCAUAAGGAUACAUACACAGAGUCAGAUGUGAUGACUUCAAAUCAAUCACAGUUGUGGCCAAGCCGUAUUUUCCAACAAAGUUGUCAGCUGCCACUCUCUGUAAUGCAUCCGGAACUCCUCUUUUUUGCUACCUUUUAUAAAACCCGUGUCAGAUUACUUGGAAUGUCCUCAAGAACGUACAAAUCUUUGGGUUUUUUGUACUGUGAUUUUGGGGACUGUUCCCGGUUGAAUAGUGAACCCCCCAAAUUCACAUCCACCUGGAAGCUAAGAACAUGCAGACAUAUUAUGAGGGCAAGUUUAGGGUGGAUCCUAUAUCCUAUAUAACUGGUCUCCUUAGAAAGAGGAGAGAAAAGAAGACACAUAGAGACAGAGACAUACAGGGAGAAUGCUGUGUGAUGGACAAGGUCAAAGUGCUGUGUCUACAAGUCAAGAAAUGUCAAGGAUUGCUAGGGACCACCAGAGCUAGGAAGAGGAAAGGAAGACUAGACACUAUAGAGAGUGACACGGCCCUGCCACGACCUUGAUUUUGGACUUCUAGACUCCACAACUAGGAGAGAAAACAUUUCUGUUGUUUAACCCACUCGGCGUGUGGUACUUUGUACGACAGUCCCAGGAAGCUAACACAGAAGCUAAGUCGGUUGACUGAGGAAGUAAUCAAGCUGAGUAAUUCUGCUGCUGAUCAAACAAACGCUGUGAUCAACCAGACCAGACGGAUUUAAAGGACACAACAGAGACACAUUCUACCCGCACCGAUGCUGUCUCUACAUGAAGCCUGCUCUGACCUUCAGCCCCCAGAACCUGUAUAAAUGCUCGUAAGCUUUUUUGCCCUGUGCCCUUAUUUCACGAAGACAACUCACGUACACGGUCAGUUCUCGUUUUCAUAACGUGUGUCUUUUUCUCAAGCGGACGGCGUGCAUUUUGAGCAGAAGCCACGUCGAUACGUCUUUUAUAUUCCGUCCUCCUUAGCGAGUCCCACAUCAUCUCAUGCAGCGUGGAUGGAGAGGUGAAAGAGAAUUCAAGAGUGCCAGAGACUCCGUGGAUGCAUGCAUCAGAAGAACGGCGGAGUCCUAAUGCAAAGUUCUCCACGUAAAGACACAUUUUGGCUCUUGCCCCCGACACGGUCCCAGCUCUCGGGCUGCCAUUACCCGGUACUCCACCCUACCAAGAAUGGGCAUUGAACUAACUGCGGUUUGGGAGGGAAGCUUCUGAGUUCCAAGAUUCUUCUGAACUCCACUUGCUUUAAGUGAUUUUCACUGCAGAGUUGCAUCAAAGCUCUUUUUUUUGGCAAAGAAGUUGCCAUAUACGAUUAAAAAUAAUUUGGGGGGCAGGAUCUCUACCAGGAAUUGAACAAACAAUGUACUGUCUUAAGCUGGUUCCAAAUUCCUAAUGCAUCUGUUUUGUACAGUCCCCAUUUCAUAAAACUACAAUUCCUCGUU